GACGAACGCUGGCGGCGUGCCUAAUACAUGCAAGUAGAACGCUGAAGAGAGGAGCUUGCGCUUCUUGGAUGAGUUGCGAACGGGUGAGUAACGCGUAGGUAACCUGCCUUGUAGCGGGGGAUAACUAUGGGAAACGAUAGCUAAUACCGCAUAACAAUGGAUGACACAUGUCAUUUAUUUGAAAGGGGCAAUUGCUCCACUACAAGAUGGACCUGCGUUGUAUUAGCUAGUAGGUGAGGUAAUGGCUCAGCUAGGCGACGAUACAUAGCCGACCUGAGAGGGUGAUCGGCCAAACUGGGACUGAGACACGGCCCAGACUCCUACGGGAGGCAGCAGUAGGGGAUCUUCGGCAAUGGGGGCAACCCUGACCGAGCAACGCCGCGUGAGUGAAGAAGGUUUUCGGAUCGUAAAGCUCUGUUGUAAGUCAAGAACGGGUGUGAGAGUGGAAAGUUCACACUGUGACGGUAGCUUACCAGAAAGGGACGGCUAACUACGUG
rnacentral:rRNA from 1 species